rnacentral:rRNA from 1 species
CAGGAAUAGCUUGCUAUUUGCUGACGAGUGGCGGACGGGUGAGUAAUGCUUGGGAACUUGCCUUUGGGAGGGGGAUAACAGUUGGAAACGACUGCUAAUACCGCAUAACGUCUACGGACCAAAGGGGGCUUAGGCUCCUACCUGAAGAGAGGCCCAAGUGAGAUUAGCUAGUUGGUGGGGUAAAGGCUCACCAAGGCGACGAUCUCUAGCUGUUCUGAGAGGAAGAUCAGCCACACUGGGACUGAGACACGGCCCAGACUCCUACGGGAGGCAGCAGUGGGGAAUAUUGCACAAUGGGGGAAACCCUGAUGCAGCCAUGCCGCGUGUGUGAAGAAGGCCUUCGGGUUGUAAAGCACUUUCAGUUGUGAGGAAAGGUUGGUAGUUAAUACCUGCCAGCUGUGACGUUAACAACAGAAGAAGCACCGGCUAACUCCGUGCCAGCAGCCGCGGUAAUACGGAGGGUGCGAGCGUUAAUCGGAAUUACUGGGCGUAAAGCGGACGCAGGCGGUUUGUUAAGCUAGAUGUGAAAGCCCCGGGCUCAACCUGGGAUGGUCAUUUAGAACUGGCAGACUAGAGUCUUGGAGAGGGGAGUGGAAUUCCAGGUGUAGCGGUGAAAUGCGUAGAUAUCUGGAGGAACAUCAGUGGCGAAGGCGACUCCCUGGCCAAAGACUGACGCUCAUGUCCGAAAGUGUGGGUAGCGAACAGGAUUAGAUACCCUGGUAGUCCACACCGUAAACGCUGUCUACUAGCUGUGUGUGAAUUUAAUUCGUGCGUAGCGAA